AACUGCCACUGGGUUUCAACUGCCACCUGGGAGACUGCUGGUAAAGAUGGGAGGUGGCCUUUGCCGCUUUCCAUCUUCUCACUGCAGUUUCUUCACGUGGGCCACUUGUACUUAAAAUGUCUUCUUAAUUUAUUCUUUUUACUUCCCCAGCUCCAAUUUGUCUACAGAUUUACAAAUUUGUUUUAUAGUUUUAUGACUCAAUUUGUAUUUUCGGUCCUAUGAAGCUUUUUGCCUUAAAUAUUUUUCUCUGUUUAUAAGAAUGUGCUGUUUCCUAGGCCAGUUUUGUACACACUCUUCCAUAGAAUAGAUCCAGAAGAAACACAACAAUACUGCCUUCAUCAUAUCAGGAGAUCUUGAUACCAAAUACGGUAAGAGACAUUCCAUGAAAGGGGGAUUACAGGCCAAAGUCUUCUGAAUAGAGAUGUGAAAAUCUUAAAUCAGAUAUCGGAACAUCUUAAAUCCAGAGUUUUUUAAGAAAAUAAACAGAUUUUCUGAUGGGAAACAUAAUAGCCUAGUUAAGAGGUUUCGAGGGAUUGUUUUAAAUUAAAGACAUUUUUAAAAGAUAAAUACAAUCAGGUGGAUAUAAAAAGUUACAAAAUAGAAAAAAUCAUUAGAGGUUAUAAAAGGUUUAUGAAAAUCUUACUUUGUAGUCAAAAUUGACUAGGGUAAGUGAUUUAUUUACAAGGUCUUAUUAAAAUUAGCUACAAUAUUAAAAAUACACUAAUACCAAACUAAAAUUUUGAUUUAAAAAAUAAGCUUUUCUUAAGAUAUUAAUUUGUUCUCAAUGAAAUUACAAGAGGUAAUAAUUUUUCAUUCUGAAAUCUAUUAUUUUUUAAACUUCUCAGAUUUAUACCUCAGAAGUUCGACUUUUACUGUGUCUCUUUACACGUAAUUUACAGGUCCCAUAUUAUUGCCUUUUGUUUCUUUUCUCCUGGAAAAGGUGCAUCUUUUCCAGGCUGGGAUGAUAACUCUCUCC
ensembl:lncRNA LINC01120 long intergenic non-protein coding RNA 1120